rnacentral:rRNA from 1 species
CCCUACGGGGCGCAGCAGGCGCGAAACCUCCACAAUGUGAGAAAUCGCGAUGGGGGAAUCCCAAGUGCCAUUCUUAACGGGAUGGCUUUUCUUAAGUGUAAAGAGCUUUUGGAAUAAGAGCUGGGCAAGACCGGUGCCAGCCGCCGCGGUAACACCGGCAGCUCUAGUGGUAGCUGUUUUUAUUGGGCCUAAAGCGUUCGUAGCCGGUUUAAUAAGUCUCUGGUGAAAUCCUAUAGCUUAACUGUGGGAAUUGCUGGAGAUACUAUUAGACUGAGAUCGGAGAGUAGA